rnacentral:rRNA from 1 species
UGGGGAAUAUUGCACAAUGGGCGCAAGCCUGAUGCAGCCAUGCCGCGUGUAUGAAGAAGGCCUUCGGGUUGUAAAGUACUUUCAGCGGGGAGGAAGGGAGUAAAGUUAAUACCUUUGCUCAUUGACGUUACCCGCAGAAGAAGCACCGGCUAACUCCGUGCCAGCAGCCGCGGUAAUACGGAGGGUGCAAGCGUUAAUCGGAAUUACUGGGCGUAAAGCGCACGCAGGCGGUUUGUUAAGUCAGAUGUGAAAUCCCCGGGCUCAACCUGGGAACUGCAUCUGAUACUGGCAAGCUUGAGUCUCGUAGAGGGGGGUAGAAUUCCAGGUGUAGCGGUGAAAUGCGUAGAGAUCUGGAGGAAUACCGGUGGCGAAGGCGGCCCCCGGCACGAAGACUGACGCUCAGGUGCGAAAGCGUGGGGAGCAAACAGG